AUUCAUAUGUGCAUACAAGCUAAAAUUGGAACCAUACACAGGAGAUUAGCACAGCCGCUGAGUAAGGAUGACAUGCAAAUUUAUGAAGUGUUCCAUAUUUAA
rnacentral:snRNA from 1 species